AAACUUUAUAAAAUAUAGCUUCUAACUAUAUAAAAGUAAAUAGUUUACUAAAGUUUU
rnacentral:tRNA from 1 species